ensembl:lncRNA
ACUUGAUAGGCUAAUUAAUUCACUGGAACGGUGCAGUUUCAUUGACGUAAUCAAACAGACCACCAACUCCCUGAUAUGAUGACAGAUGACAAAAGAAAAGAGCUGCAAGUGGAGACGUCCCAACAACAGCGUUGAAGCCUGCAGAAUGAAGGCAUUGGCAGACAUGGCGUGUCCUUUUAUUGAAGAGCCACUCCGCAGAAAUCUCAGUCGGGAGAGGAUUAUUAGACCCCGAUUGGAUGUUUUAUCAUUCCCUGAUGAGUACCUGUUUUAGCGUUUCCGUUUCUCUGCAUCAUCAAUAAUUUAUAUAAACAAUAUUCUCAGCCCUCACAUCGCGCACAUGACACAUCGUGGACACACUCUCAGUUCCGAGCAAAUUCUUUG